rnacentral:rRNA from 1 species
AGUGAACGCUGGCGGUAGGCCUAACACAUGCAAGUCGAACGGCAGCACAGUAAGAGCUUGCUCUUACGGGUGGCGAGUGGCGGACGGGUGAGGAAUACAUCGGAAUCUACUUUUUCGUGGGGGAUAACGUAGGGAAACUUACGCUAAUACCGCAUACGACCUACGGGUGAAAGCAGGGGAUCUUCGGACCUUGCGCGAUUGAACGAGCCGAUGUCGGAUUAGCUAGUUGGCGGGGUAAAGGCCCACCAAGGCGACGAUCCGUAGCUGGUCUGAGAGGAUGGUCAGCCACACUGGAAGUGAGACACGGUCCAGGCUCCUACGGGAGGCAGCAGUGGGGAAUAGUGGACAAUGGGCGCAAGCCUGAUCCAGCCAUACCGCGUGGGUGAAGAAGGCCUUCGGGUUGUAAAGCCCUUUUGUUGGGAAAGAAAAGCAGCAGGUUAAUACCCCGCUGUUCUGACGGUACCCAAAGAAUAAGCACCGGCUAACUUCGUG